rnacentral:rRNA from 1 species
UGGGCGUAAAGGGCAUGUAGGCGGUAAGUUAAGUCAGAUGUGAAAUCCCCGAGCUUAACUUGGGAACGGCAUUUGAGACUGGCGGGCUAGAGUUUUGUAGAGGGGGGUAGAAUUCCAGGUGUAGCGGUGAAAUGCGUAGAGAUCUGGAGGAAUACCGGUGGCGAAGGCGGCCCCCUGGACAAGGACUGACGCUGAGGUGCGAAAGCGUGGGUAGCAAACAGGAUUAGAUACCCUGGUAGUCCACGCUGUAAACGAUGUCGAUUUGGAGGUUGUGGCCUAGUGUUAUGGCGUCCGAAGCUAACGCGAUAAAUCGACCGCCUGGGGAGUACGGCCGCAAGGUUAAAACUCAAAUGAAUUGACGGGGGCCCGCACAAGCGGUGGAGCAUGUGGUUUAAUUCGAUGCAACGCGAAGAACCUUACCUACUCUUGACAUCCACGGAAUUGAGCAGAGAUGCUUAAGUGCCUUCGGGAGCCGUGAGACAGGUGCUGCAUGGCUGUCGUCAGCUCGUGUUGUGAAAUGUUGGGUUAAGUCCCGCAACGAGCGCAACCCUUGUCCUUUGUUGCCAGCGCGUGAUGGCGGGAACUCAAAGGAGACUGCCGGUGAUAAACCGGAGGAAGGUGGGGAUGACGUCAAGUCAUCAUGGCCCUUACGAGUAGGGCUACACACGUGCUACAAUGGCGCAUACAAAGAGCGGCGAGCGUGCGAACGUAAGCGAACCUCAUAAAGUGCGUCGUAGUCCGGAUUGGAGUCUGCAACUCGACUCCAUGAAGUCGGAAUCGCUAGUAAUCGUGGAUCAGAAUGCUACGGUGAAUACGUUCCCGGGCCUUGUACACACCGCCCGUCACACCAUGGGAGUGGGCGGCA